rnacentral:rRNA from 1 species
GGAUUAGAUACCCUGGUAGUCCACGCCGUAAACGAUGUCUACUAGCCGUUGGGGAUCUUGAAUCUUUAGUGGCGCAGCUAACGCACUAAGUAGACCGCCUGGGGAGUACGGCCGCAAGGUUAAAACUCAAAUGAAUUGACGGGGGCCCGCACAAGCGGUGGAGCAUGUGGUUUAAUUCGAUGCAACGCGAAGAACCUUACCAGCCCUUGACAUCCUGCGAAUUUUCUAGAGAUAGAUUAGUGCCUUCGGGAACGCAGUGACAGGUGCUGCAUGGCUGUCGUCAGCUCGUGCUG